rnacentral:rRNA from 1 species
UACGUAGGGGGCAAGCGUUGUCCGGAUUUAUUGGGCGUAAAGAGCGUGUAGGCGGCCAUGUAGGUCCGUUGUGAAAACUCGAGGCUCAACCUCGAGAGGUCGGUGGAAACCGUGUGGCUAGAGUCCGGAAGAGGAGAGUGGAAUUCCCGGUGUAGCGGUGAAAUGCGCAGAUAUCGGGAAGAACACCCGUGGCGAAGGCGGCUCUCUGGGACGGUACUGACGCUGAGACGCGAAAGCGUGGGGAGCGAACAGG